UAAAAAUAUUAAUUUUUCAUCUCAGCAGGUAACAAUGUGAAAAGUGCAGACAGUGUGUAUUUUGUGUGUACAGAAUAAAGUGUUGUGUGUUUAUAAAGUGAAUUGUAUUGUAAUGUUAUUAGUGAUGUUUUUAGGUGGUGAUUUCAUUUACACGUAUAAAAAUGUUAUACAUUAUUUGCACUAAUACCACAUUGUCUCUCUUUCUUUACAUGAAUCCACACUCUGAGAUGAAAGGUAAGUCAUCAAAUGAUCUGCAAUAAUUAUAUAUGUGAAAAAUCAUAUUCAGUUUUUUAUUGUAUGGGAAUUAAUGCAGUGUCCAUCUCUUUGUGUCUGCAUGUUAGCUGAGUGGAUCAAAGUGUAUUAAUUGGUUAGUGGGUGCAAGAGAGAGAAACCCUUGCACCAAGGAUGCUUCCGAAAAGCGAAUUUAUUGGCUUAUUAUCAAACUACUUUUGGACUACAUUCAAUGAUAAACAAUAGAAAAUAAAACCAGAAAACAAAACAAACCAAAGUGAUAGUAAUGAAAGACAAAAUAGCUCGAGUAAGUUAGAGUGAUUCUUGGCUAAAUGGUAUGAGGCAGUGUGGUUUGGGAAGUCGCUUGGGAGAGCCUCUAGAGAAUUAACCUAAGCACGGACGGGAAUAAAUAUCUGGCUGGAUGUACCUAUAAAAGUUCUCUUAUUAAAUAAAUUGGCGUCAGGGCCCUGACUGCAAAUUGAUGGAACCAGCUUACGUUGGAGUCGGGGGCUGACUUCAGGAGGGGUCGUCUCAGGACAGACUCGAUCGAAGGCUGGAGCUUACGCGGUGGUUCCUCUCCUCGCUGGCCGUGGACGCUGCACCUCCGUGCGGGCACGCGCCUUUCCGUCAGUGAUUGGGCGGAGGCGUCUCGUGGCCGUCUGAUGGUGGAGCUUGGGCAGCCUUUCGAUGGUCGAUCUGUUCACAGAUCAGUGCGUGGCUCUGGGUGCGAUGCUGGGUCUCCGUGGCGUCAGAACCGCUCCCACUCCGCUGGCGAGGUUCUGGUUGCAAUCGGGGUUCUGAGGCUGGUGAUACUAAUUUAACUAACUACCUCUCUUUAGCAGAGUCGAAAGUGAUGGCUAUAUUCUCGCUGGCCAGACAAGAAAUAUCCACCUUCCUUCUCUAAGGGUGGUCUAAACUUAAGGUGUGUAGACGAACAGGCAAGUUACAAAACAAACAAAGGUUUCACAUCUGAAAAUUUAGCGUUCUAAUACUUCUGACCUGUCUUUCUGACCAAGGCCGGCACAAACUUAGAAACUUAGCUAUCCUUUUGUUGCGAACGCAGGAAUCUGAGCUGAACCCCGAAAUUUGCGGUGCACUCUGGUUUUGAGCACAAGUCCUUACGGUGGUGAUGUGGUAAUCUGCGGUUUCACCCCUUGGGGGUGCUGUGGGUCCGUGCUUGAGAUCCCUAGGGAUUUAGAAAGUUAAAAUUUUGCCGUCCAAAGUCGUAUGAGUUCCAUUUUUGGGUAUGUCUAGUUUAGUUAAAAAGAGUUCUAACGAAUGGUUGCAGUUUGGAGUGGACAUAUACCUUAGAAAUGUACUUUCUGUUACUUAAAGAUAAAGUUGUCCACAGGACUUCGGAGGGCCAUGUGGCCAAUAUUCCAGGGAGGUGUUGCCCCCUGGGUCGAGGGAAAGGGGUGCUGGUUCUUGGUUCAGUCGUAAAUUUGGCUGAGUUUAGGGGUUGGGAGUGUUAAGUGACAGAUUUACACUUUCAAUUCCAGACUCGCUGGAGCCAAAGGGCCCUUAACUUUGGGUUGUUGAUACGUUAGAAACACUCAGCCUAGGGGUAAAUUUCAGCCAGUGUUCGCUACAAUAAUAAUAUUCAUUUUUCGUCUCAGCAGGUAACAAUGUGAAAAGUGCAGACAGUGUGUAUUUUGUGUGUGCAGAAUAAAGUGUUGUGUGUUUAUAAAGUGAAUUCUAUUGUAAUGCUGUUAGUGAUGUUGUUAGGUGGUGAUUUUAUUUACGUGUAUAAAAAUAUUAUACAUUAUUUGCACUAAUACCACCUUUGUCUCUCUUUCUUUACCUGAAUCCACACUCUGAGGAAAAAGGUAAGUCAUCAAAUGAUCUGCAAUAAUUCUAUAUGUGAAAAAUCAUAUUCAGUUGUCAUUGUAUGGGAAUUAAUGCAGUGUCAAUCACUUUUUGUCUGCAUGUUGGCUGAGUGGAUCAAAGUGUCUUAAUUGGUCAGUGGGUGCACUGGGACAUAAGAUGAAAUGAAGAUAGUCUCACUGUUUGUACCUAAUGUGAGUAUAAAUGUAAUUAAUAGAGGUGGGAGAUGAAAAUCACUGCAUCAAUUAGGUGAAAAAUAGCAAUAUUGAACAGAGUAUUGAGAUUUUAUUAUUUAUAUUUUGAUCCUGUAUUGAGUCCAUUGUUAGACUAAUAAAAUAGCAAAAUCCAUUGUGUUCUACUGCUGUUUAUUCUUUUCUGUUCAUUAUUUUUUUUCUAUUUGGUUGUAUAUCUUUAUGACACUAUCAUAACCUUUUUCCCUCCCUCUAUAUCUGAGUCCACACUCGGAGGAAUUACAAAGUGUAAAAAGUUAAGUAAAAAAUUGUCUAAAAUUAUUGUGUAUGAUUUAAAUAUCUGUACACAGUUCUCACUGAAUGGAAAUGAAUGCAGUGUGUUCCUCUUUUUUACAUGUGGACUGAAUGGAUUAAAAUGUCUUCACUGGGUAAUGACUGCACUGGGACAUCAGGUGAGAUAAACAGUGUCUUAAUGGAGUUUGUCCUUCUUUUCCAUUUGAGUAAAUGGUGGUAAAUGCUUUUAUGAUUAGGUUACUUGUUUGUUCUCUCUCACUUCUCUUCACAUGUUUGAGCUGAAAUCUUCUACCUUGGUGUGACAGACUGUGUGGUACUUUAAAACUUGUGAAGACUGCAAUGAAAAAGGGAUUCCUCUCACCCUGUUUGGAUGAUGGUGGUCUUUCUCUACCUAAAUAUGUCUGUGUGAUGGAGGACCAGAGCUGCAGUUAACAGUGAGACCUAUGAAAGGACCCUUUGACAACCUUUCAUAUGAACUGGUAAUCAUUAUUAGCAUUAUUAGCUAAAGCUAAUCUCACUACAUUAGUUUUAGUGCCUAAUGACUGGGAGAGAAUAAUGUGUGGUGUGACAUGUUGUUGGUUUUGGGUUUUCUUUGUCAUUUAUAUAUAGAUAAUAUACAUUAGAGACAUUAAUGUAAAAAUUUACAGUUAAUAUUGUCUGAAUGUUGGAUGAGUUCAUUACUUGACCGACCACAUGGACUGGUCAACUUUAUUAGCAUUACUACUAUUAUCAGCAUAAUGCUGAUAGAAGAUCAAUGUGCAUGAUUAUAUGUAUGUGUAUUUGAAUGUGCAUUUUUAUAAGAGUGCACCAAUAUCAAUAAUAACAGUAUAAGUACUGUUAAUACUAAUAAUAAUAAUAAUAAUAUACAUUUUUCAUCUCAGCAGGUCACAAUGUGAAAAGUGCAGACAGUGUGUAUUUUGUGUGUACAGAAUAAAGUUUUGUUUUUUUAUAAUGUGAAUUGUAAUGUAAUGCUAUUAGUGAUGUUUUUAGGUGGUGAUUUCAUUUACACGUAUAAAAAUAUUAUGCAUUAUUCGCACUAAUACCACUUUGUCUCUCUUUCUUUACAUGAAUCCACACUCUGAGAUGAAAGGUAAGUCAUCAAAUGAUCUGCAAUAAUUCUAUAUGUGAAAAAUCAUAUUCAGUUCUCAUUGUAUGGGAAUUAAUGCAGUGUCAAUCUCUUUGUGUCUGCAUGUUGGCUGAGUGGAUCAAAGUGUCUUAAUUGGUUAGUGGGUGCACUGGGACAUAAGAUGAAAUGAAGGUCGUCUCACUGUUUGUACCUAAUGUGAGUAUAAAUGUAAUUAAUAGAGGUGGGAGAUGAAAAUCACUGCAUCAAUUAGGUGAAAAAUAGCAAUAUUGAACAGAGUAUUGAGAUUUUAU